UCGAGCGUAGAGUGAAUUACCAACGGCGCGUUCGUGAAAUGUGCCAUUCAUCCGAAACAUGUUAACUUUGGAACGGCUGGUAAAUCUGAAGCAGCUGGCGCAGAUGUGCCACCGCCUUCGUGACAUGAACAGGACAUGGACACAACAUCAUGACAUGGCUACGGCACGCAGAUAACGUCCUAUAAUACGGCUGUCAUCACAGCCUCCAGCAACACACGCAUUGGAUUUUGGAACACAUCAACAACAUUCCACGAAUAAUCAAAACCGACACCUGUCUCCUGAGCUCUUAUCUACGACUUUGUGUGUCAAAAGCCAACUUCAACACUGAAUAAACAACACCAGUAACACUUUUAAGGUAAUAAUGGAAGAACUGCAGCAGUUUGGUAAUGUGGACCAAGUUGAGGAAGUGGAGGAGGUCUGUCUGCCACGUCUUGUGGUGAGAGAUAGAAGGAUCCAAUUGUCAUGCAGUCAGAGGAGUUCAUAAAGCGUUAUCGACUGCCAAAGCAGUGCAUCAGAAACCUGCUUCAGAAAAUCACCAGAAAAUUACCCACAGCAAGAGAUGGCAGAGGUUGCAGCUUGUGUUGUGUUGCAUAAUCAAGCCACAACUGAGAAUAUUGAUAUUGCCAAAGAAGAAGACACAGAUGAACUAGAGCAUGAUGCAGUACACUACGAAAAUAAUGAUAAUCGUUUAGGGUUUGAUGUCAGAAGCAAUGUUGUUGAACAAUGGUUUUAGGAGUCAGACUUUCUGGAUGAAUAAUUAAUUUCCACUGAUUAAGGAAGCUGCAACAAGGAAGUCCUGUAGGAGUGAAGAAGCAUGGCGGUUGGCCUUGCUCUUCCCCCAAGAUCUGAGGGGAGCCUGGAGUUCCCUUGCUCUGCCUCCGCUUCUCCUGUCCAGUCGAGCCACGGCCUACUUGAGAGAAGAGUCGCCUGUGUUGACGCCGAAGGUGUGUGGAGAGUGAGGGAAAUCUGUUCUAAUCACCUCAAUGUGUGAAAACCAUGUAGGGAAUUUACUUAUAAAGUAUGGAUAUAUCUGUACUUUGUGUAUUUAUGAAUGUAUAUGUGUUUAUGUAUGAAUAUAUAUCUGUAUGUACAGAUAUGUUUAUGUAUGUAUGA
rnacentral:lncRNA from 1 species